rnacentral:tRNA from 1 species
GGAGAGAUGGCUCAGUGGUUAAGAGCACUGACUGCUCUUCCAGAGGUCCUGAGUUCAAAUCCCAGCAAACCA